UACGUAGGGUGCAAGCGUUGUCCGGAAUUACUGGGUGUAAAGGGCGCGUAGGCGGGCACGCAAGUUGGAUGUAUAAACUAUCGGCUCAACCGGUAGAGGCAUUCAAAACUGCGAUUCUUGAGUGGAGUAGAGGCAGACGGAAUUCCUAGUGUAGCGGUGAAAUGCGUAGAUAUUAGGAGGAGCACCAGUGGCGAAGGCGGUCUGCUGGGCUUUAACUGACGCUGAGGCUCGAAAGCGUGGGUAGCAAACAGG
rnacentral:rRNA from 1 species